AGCUGCGACACCGAGGUGAAGGCGCUGCCGCGCGCGGGACUCCCGCCCUCCAGCCGUCCGGGAAGAGCGCCUCCGGGACGCGGGGCCAGCAGCUUCUCGGGGGCCCCUGGCGACCCCGCCGCGGGGGUGGACGAGCCGUUGCUGCCGCCGCCGGCGACACCGCCUCCCGCAUCGGGGUCCUCGGCCGCGCCCCCUGCGCCGUCUGUCGCCGCCGCCUCCUCCUGCAAGCCCACCGCGCGGCCCGCCUUCUUCACCUCCACGAAGGCGCUGCGCUUCGCCUCGCCGGUCUCCGGGCUGGGCGGCGCGAAGAGCCGGCCGUUCUCCUCCAGGCCGAAGUAGCUGCCGGCGGCGCGGUACUGCUGCGGCGUGCACACCAACUCCUCCUUGGAGGUCGCCAGCGGCCUCUCGGAGAAGCGCGCACGGCCGCCGGCCAGCCCGGCGCCGCCGCCCUCCGCAGCCGUCUCCUCCGGGAACCGCCUCUUGCCUUUGCAGCCGCCGGUGGCGACGCCGUCGGGACUCAGCUCCGCCUCCUGGUGGCCGCUGCCGCCACUGCCGACGCCCGGGGCCGCUACGCAACUGCUGCUUCCCCGGGAGUUUUCCAGUUCCCGAGCCAGGUUGUGGAAGUCCGUGGACGGCUUGGCGCUGCCGGCACCCGCGGAGCCCGGCGGGUUGCUCGCCUCCGGGGAUGA
ensembl:antisense A730035I17Rik RIKEN cDNA A730035I17 gene